rnacentral:misc_RNA from 1 species
AAACAAGCGAAAGGAGGUGAUCCAGUGUCGAGAGUCAUGCUGGAGAGAGGUGUCGGAAAAAUCGGGGAGGCGCGCCACUGAGGCAGCCCUCGAGGUAGCCACCCGACGAGCUUAUGGGCUCACGUAGGACACCUCACCUCCAAGAGAACUCGGAGAGCCGUUCCCUAAGGGAGCGGCUC